CCUACGGGUGGCUGCAGUGAGGAAUAUUGGUCAAUGGGCGCUAGUCUGAACCAGCCAUGCCGCGUGCAGGAUGACUGCCCUAUGGGUUGUAAACUUCUUUUGUAUGAGAGUAAAGUCCAGUAUGCAUACUUCUCUGCAUGUAUCUUACGAAUAAGGAUCGGCUAACUCCGUGCCAGCAGCCGCGGUAAUACGGAGGAUCCGAGCGUUAUCCGGAUUUAUUGGGUUUAAAGGGAGCGUCGGCGGGUUGUUAAGUCAGGUGUGAAAGUUUGCGGCUCAACCGUAAAAUUGCAGUUGAUACUGGCAGCCUUGAGUACAGUAGAGGUAGGCGGAAUUCGUGGUGUAGCGGUGAAAUGCUUAGAUAUCACGAAGAACUCCGAUUGCGAAGGCAGCCUGCUAAACUGUAACUGACGCUGAUGCUCGAAAGUGUGGGUAUCAAACAGGAUUAGAUACCCGGGUAGUC
rnacentral:rRNA from 1 species